rfam:Gossypium arboreum cultivar AKA8401 contig_49300_1, whole genome shotgun sequence.
UGUUAAAAUUUUAUCUAUUUUUACUGUUCAAAACUGACGUGGCUGAUAGAAUAAUAUUACAAUUGCAUGUGGUGUGCCAUGUGUAUCUCAUUUUGAUGUACAAGGAUCAAUUUUUAGUAGUAGAAAUGGAUGGAAUAUUUAGGGCCA